UACAGAGGUCUCAAGCGUUGUUCGGAUUCAUUGGGCGUAAAGGGUGCGUAGGCGGCGCGGUAAGUCGGGUGUGAAAUCUCGGAGCUUAACUCCGAAACUGCAUUCGAUACUGCCGUGCUUGAGGACUGGAGAGGAGACUGGAAUUUACGGUGUAGCGGUGAAAUGCGUAGAUAUCAGGAGGAACACCAGCGGCGAAGGCGGCGCUCUGGGCCGGUACUGACACUGAGGAGCGAAAGCGUGGGGAGCAAACAGG
rnacentral:rRNA from 1 species